rnacentral:lncRNA from 1 species
CACAUGCAGAAGAAUGGAAUUGGAACACUUUCCUACACCAUGUAUAAAAAUUCAAAAGGAAUUGAAGACCUAAAUGUGAGACCUGAAACCAUAAAAAGAAGAAAAGAUAGGCAGUAACGUCUUUGACUUGGCCAUAGGAUCUUUUUUCUACAUAUGCUCUGAGACAAGGGAAACAAAACCAAAAAUAAAUUAUUGGGACUUCAUCAAGAUAAAAAGCUCUGCACAGUGAAGGAAACAACCAAAGCUAAAAGGCAACUUAGAAAAUGAGACGAGAUAUUUCUAAGCGACAGAUCCAGUAAAGACAUAAUAUCCAAAAUAUAAAUCUCAACAUUCAAAACAUGAAUCAUCCAAUUGAAAAUGGGCAGAAGACAUGAAUGCACAUUUUCUGUAAUAUCCAGAUGGCCGCCAGACACAAGGAAAGACACUCAACAUCACCCAUCAUCAGGGAAAUGCAACUCAAAACCACAAUGAGAAAUCACCUGACACUUGUCAUAAUGCCUAAAAUUAAGAACACAGGAGACAACAGGUAUUGGUGAGGAUGGGGAAAAAGGGGAAGACUCUUAUACUGCUGGUGGGGAAGCAAACAGGUGCAGCCACUGUGGAAAGCAGUAUGGAGGUUCCUCAGGUUAAAAAGAGAACUACCCAAUGACCAGAAAUUCACAGUUAGGUAUUUAUCAGAAGGAUACAAAAGUAGAGAUUUGAAGAGGGAUCUGAUUUUCUUCAUAUGCUUUGCAGGUGAAUGGACGAGUCUUCCCAGGUCUCCCAGGUCCGUAAGCCGCGAUCUCCUUGGACACCUCGUGUCCCUGCGGACAUGCCCAGCAGAGAACAGUCAAGAGUGAGGAGGAGCAGCUGGAGCCUGUCUGACCACUACACGAUGGGCUCUGACGCAGCCCACACUCUUCUCUCCCGGGGAGGCCUGAAUCCCUAUGAGCCUGCGGAGGGCAUUGCCUCCGGGGCCCCAGGACGUGGCAAUCCAUCGUGGUUCCACCCAUCCCCACACGGAGGGCGACAGCUGGUGCUCAAUGUCCUUCACAGGCCUCCUAUCUAAGGGGUCUGCUUUCCAGUUCCUGCCUGGCUGGCAAGUGCGGCUUCACAGGAGCUACCUGGGAGCCGCCCAGGUGUCAUUGGAAACUGCUUCCCCAGAUCCAGAGGCUGCCUCCAGACCAGACUGAGAGGCUGACCUAUCCAGAUUGGCAGGCCAAGGGUUCUAAACCUAAGGGGACCGCAAAGUAUACACUUUAAAAAAAAACUACGUCCUUAUGUGUAUAUACAUAUAUUUUGGAGAUUUAUAAAUCUGCCCUUUGAC